UACGUAGGGUGCAAGCGUUAAUCGGAAUUACUGGGCGUAAAGUGUGCGCAGGCGGCUUCGCAAGUCGAGUGUGAAAUCCCCCGAGCUUAACUUGGGAAUUGCGCUCGAAACUACGGAGCUGGAGUGUGGCAGAGGAAGGUGGAAUUCCACGUGUAGCGGUGAAAUGCGUAGAUAUCUGAAGGAACAUCAGUGGCGAAAGCGAACUUCCUGGACCAAUACUGACGCUCAUGUGCGAAAGCGUGGGGAGCAA
rnacentral:rRNA from 1 species